GCUCCAGUGGCGCAAUCGGUCAGCGUGUGGUACAUACAAUGCUGAGUUUGUGAGUUCAAGCCUCACGUGGAGCA
rnacentral:tRNA from 1 species